AUGAGCUACACCAGUCAUCAACUAGAAAAGCAAAGAGAAGGAGGCGGAGAUAAAAGAGCUAACCAGAUUCACAAAGUCCUAUGGCUAUUCUCAUGGGAGAAUAGGGGCUACUUCCUGAGAAGUCCCAACCAUGGGCUCCAGGGACAAAUAGCUCCAGGAAAUCCUUCAUCUCUUUGCAACCCACAGAUACUCAGAUACUCAUCUAGAGCCUCCACCUGGGAUGCUUGUCACCAGGUCCCUUUGAGCAGUCACUUGAGCCACCUGGUGGCAAAGCUUGGAGCUUUGCGAGGAGAGCAGCCAGGUGAACAACUGUCUAUGACUGCAGGUGGAGCAGCAGUUGGAUGGUGGGGGGCAGGAGGGCGGUAUGCAAAGCCAGCCUCAGCCCCUCCUCUGUCAACCAGGACAUCCCAACCCACACAGAGCCUGGAAACCAGCAGCACCCCUUCCAAGGUAAGAAGGAAAAAGUGCCAGGAAGCCCACAGUCCAUGGGACCGCACCAAGAUGUCUGUGGCAGAAGGGGUAAUCUUGCCUCUUCUGAUCUCCUUAGGCUUGGGGUGAAAUCAGAGGCUUCAAUAGAGAGUCUUGGGUGAGAGCAUGGGAUUUAGGUCAGACCUGGCUCCGGAUUUGGAGUUUGCCACAUACAGGUUGCUUGUCUUGGGCAAGGUGUUUUAAUUCUGCAGAUAUUCAAGCCUUAGUUUCCUCACUUUAAGGUGGGAAUAUAACAACAGAGAGAGAGUACAGUUAUUUGGAGCAUUAUGUGAAAUAAUUUGCAAGUGCCUGCCACAAUAAGAAUUGCUCAACAAGUAACAGUUUUAUAAAUUAAUAUCUAUCUCUUGUAUUCGUGGAGUGCUUUAAAAUUUACCAAGUCUUCAAAUAUUUUCAUCUGUGGUCGGGCAGGAUUAUGCUCUCUGUAUUUGACUUGAGAAAACUCAGGCAUUGAGACAUUAAUUGACAUGCUAAGGUUUAUAGCAGCUGAGAAACCAACCCAGGAUUUGGAACUGACUUUUUUAAAUACUUAAAAUUUUUUUAUUUUUUAAAAGAUUUUAUCUAUUUAUUCAUGAGAGACACACACAGAGAGAGAGACAGAGACAAUAGGCAGAAGGAGAAGCAUGUUCCAUUCAGGGAACCUGAUGGGUGACUUGAUCCUGGGACUCCGGGAUCAUGCCCUGAGCCAAAGGCAGACACUCAACCACUGAUCCACCCAGGUGCCCAUUGACAUUUUUAAAAAAGUAUUCUCUGAUGUGAUGUGGGCUAGGAGUGAAGGGUCAAGAAAGGAUACUUGAGACAUUUCCAGUGCAAUAAAAGGGUAGUUUUAUCAUAUAGCA
rnacentral:lncRNA from 1 species